rnacentral:rRNA from 1 species
GACGAACGCUGGCGGCGUGCUUAACACAUGCAAGUCGUACGGUAAGGCCCUUUCGGGGGUACACGAGUGGCGAACGGGUGAGUAACACGUGAGUAACCUGCCCACAACUUUGGGAUAACGCUAGGAAACUGGUGCUAAUACUGGAUAUGUGCUCCUGCUGCAUGGUGGGGGUUGGAAAGCUCCGGCGGUUGUGGAUGGACUCGCGGCCUAUCAGCUUGUUGGUGGGGUAGUGGCCUACCAAGGCGGCGACGGGUAGCCGGCCUGAGAGGGUGACCGGCCACAUUGGGACUGGGAUACGGCCCAGACGCCUACGGGAGGCAGCAGUGGGGAAUAUUGCACAAUGGGCGCAAGCCUGAUGCAGCAACGCCGCGGGCGGGAUGACGGCCUUCGGGUUGUAAACCGCUUUCAGCAGGGACGAAGCUUUUUGUGACGUUACCUGCAGAAGAAGCACCGGCUAACUACGUG